rnacentral:rRNA from 1 species
CAGCAGCCGCGGGAAUACGUAGGGUGCAAGCGUUAAUCGGAAUUACUGGGCGUAAAGCGUGCGCAGGCGGUUCGCUAAGACAGAUGUGAAAUCCCCGGGCUUAACUUGGGAACUGCAUUUGUGACUGGCGGGCUAGAGUAUGGCAGAGGGGGGUAGAAUUCCACGUGUAGCAGUGAAAUGCGUAGAGAUGUGGAGGAAUACCGAUGGCGAAGGCAGCCCCCUGGGCCAAUACUGACGCUCAUGCACGAAAGCGUGGGGAGCAAACAGGAUUAGAUACCCGAGUAGUCCCUGUCUCUUAUAC